GAGGGUAUAGCUCAGUGGCAGAGGGCGUGCCUAGCAAGCACAAGUUCCCGGGUUCAAUCAUGAGGUCCUGGGUUUAAUCUCCAGUACCUCCC
rnacentral:tRNA from 1 species